rnacentral:rRNA from 1 species
ACCUGACUGCUAUCGGAUUGGUACUAAGCCAUGUGAGUCAUUGUAGCAAUACAAGGCAUACGGCUCAGUAACACGUAGUCAAUCUGCCCUAUGGACGUGGAUAACCUCGGGAAACUGAGAAUAAUCCGCGAUAGAUCAUAAUGCCUGGAACGGUUUGUGGUCCAAAUGAUUCGUCGCCAUAGGAUGGGACUGCGGCCUAUCAGCUUGUUGGUGAGGUAAUGGCCCACCAAGGCUAUUACAGGUACGGGCUCUGAGAGGAGAAGCCCGGAGAUGGGUACUGAGACACGGACCCAGGCCCUAUGGGGCGCAGCAGGCGAGAAACCUUUGCAAUGUGCGCAAGCACGACAAGGUUAAUCCGAGUGUUUCCUGCUAAAGGAAUCUUUUGUUAGUUCUAAAACCACUGAUGAAUAAGGGGUGGGCAAGUUCUGGUGUCAGCCGCCGCGGUAAAACCAGCACCUCAAGUGGUCAGGAGGAUUAUUGGGCCUAAAGCAUCCGUAGCCGGUUCUGUAAGUUUCCGGUUAAAUCCACUAGCUCAACUAAUGGGCUGCCGGAAAUACUGCAGAACUAGGGAGUGGGAGAGGUAGACGGUACUCGGGAGGAAGGGGUAAAAUCCUUUGAUCUCUUGAUGACCACCUGUGGCGAAGGCGGUCUACCAGAACACGUUCGACGGUGAGGGAUGAAAGCUGGGGGAGCAAACCGGAUUAGAUACCCGGGUAGUCCCAGCUGUAAACGAUGCAGACUCGGUGAUGCACUGGCUUUUGGCCAGUGCAGUGCCGCAGGGAAGCCGUUAAGUUUGCCGCCUGGGAAGUACGUACGCAAGUAUGAAACUUAAAGGAAUUGGCGGGGGAGCACCACAAGGGGUGAAGCCUGCGGUUCAA